GCAUUAAUGGGGUAGUGGUAACCUGGGUCGUUGCCACAAGUGCAGCAAAUCUCGACCCGCCGGGGGUUCGAUUCCCCCUUAAUGCA